GUACACGCUGUGACUAGCAUAUCAAUAAGCGGAGGAAAAGAAACUAACAAGGAUUCCCUCAGUAACGGCGAGUGAAGCGGGAAGAGCUCAAAUUUGAAAUCUUGAAAGGUCACCUUUCACGAAUUGUAGUUUAAAGAAGUGUUUUCUGUUACGAUCGUAAUAUAAGUUCUUUGGAAUAGGACAUCACAGAGGGUGAGAAUCCCGUCUAUGAUUGCGAUUUGUAGCUUUGUGAUACACUUUCAAAGAGUCGGGUUGUUUGGGAAUGCAGUCCCAAAACUGGGAGGUAAAUUUCAUUCUAAAGCUAAAUAUUGGCGAGAGACCGAUAGCGAACAAGUACCGCGAGGGAAAGAUGAAAAGAACUUUGAAAAGAGAGUUAAACAGUACGUGAAAUUGUCAAAAGGGAAGCGUUUGACACCAGUGUUGUUUUCUCGAAAAUCAAUUAAAAAUGGCUCGAUUUUGUAUUGCUUGAGACCUUAAAAGCUCACUGUACAUUUUUCGUGUCUUUUUUAAUGCACUUUUCGUUUAACAAGUCAACAUCAGUUUCUUUUGUUGUAAAGGGGUCAUUGGAAGGUGGCUUUCUUUUCGGAGAAAGUGUUUAUAGCCUUUGGCCUCUGCAAUCGGAGAGACUGAGGUCUGCAGCGUAGACUCUUCGGGGUUAGAUACAUUUGUGCUAAGUUAUAGCUUUUUAUAGACAACUUGUUGACUAUAAUUAGUCUUGUAGCUUACUCGCUUAUGCUAUUUUACCUACGCUUAGGAUGUUGAGUAGCGACAUACGCAC
rnacentral:rRNA from 1 species